GACGAACGCUGGCGGCGUGCUUAACACAUGCAAGUCGAACGGUGAACCCCUGCUUUUGUGGGCUGCUCGGAAGGCGAACGUAACACUCGCGCAAGCUUCCCCCGCCCUUGACUUAAGUCUAACUUAUGGAGACUAGUACUAAACCCGCAUCGGUUCUCCUGCUGCAUGUUGUGGAAUGGAAUUUUUCGUCGGGUGGGGAGGGACGCCGGUCUUCUCAGCUUGUUGGUGGGGUCGUGGCAUACCAAGGCUUGGAGGGGUAGCCGGCCUGAGAGGGUGACCGGCCACACUGGGACUGAGAGACGGCCCAGACUCCUGCGGGAGGCAGCAGUGGGGAAUAUUGCGCAAUGGGCGGAAGCCUGACGCAGCGACGCCGCGUGGGGGAUGACGGCCUUCGGGUUGUAAACCUCUUUCGGCAGGGACGAAGCGCAAGUGACGGUACCUGCAGAAGAAGCACCGGCCAACUACGUG
rnacentral:rRNA from 1 species